rnacentral:rRNA from 1 species
AUGGCACCUUGCCCAUAUCGGGUGAGCGCUUUCAAGAAGGCAGUUAGGAUGUUUGCAGAGAACCCGAGCAAUAAUGUUAUCACUCCAGCGCUUGGGACAAGUGUCGACUCACUUGGCGAGGCGUACAAUUUAUAGGACUUGUAUUCUUGGGAAAGGGGUUUUUGGAUUUGACAUGGAAAGAGCAGAUUGAAUGUUUAG